rnacentral:rRNA from 1 species
UACGAAGGGUGCAAGCGUUGCUCGGAAUUAUUGGGCGUAAAGGGUAGGUAGGUGGUAAUACAAGUCUGGGGUGAAAUCCCUGAGCUCAACUCAGGACGUGCCUUGGAAACUGUAUUACUAGAGUGCUGGAGAGGUCCGCAGAAUUCCCGGUGUAGCGGUGAAAUGCGUAGAGAUCGGGAGGAAUACCAGAGGCGAAGGCGGCGGACUGGACAGUCACUAACACUCAACUACGAAAGCGUGGGUAGCAAACAGG